ensembl:lncRNA
GUCCUGUGUUUGUGCACACCUGUUCUGUGUCCCCCUAAUUAGUUCCCUUAUAUCAGAAGCCUCCAACCAAAUGUUUUGAGUCAUGUCUCCACGGACAUGAAGGCACAGGAAAUCUGGAGACCUGCUGCUGAUUUCUUUCCAAAGGCGAAGACCUGGUUCUGGCCUGUGUGAGUGGAAACAGCAAGAAGGUGGUACCAACGUCCCUCAAGAUGGAUCCGUCAUUAAACUCGACCUCGUCACACCUUGAAUGAGAUUCUCCUUACGAAAAAAUGGAAGCCAUCUGCUGUGUAUCGGGUGUGAACGAUAAAAUACAACCCAAUAAAACAAGCGGAAAAAAAGAAGAAGUACGGAUUCCUGGUGUCCUGCACCAGAGAUAGACACAUAGCGGUGUGUUUGUGUGUGUGUGUGUGUUUGAGGGGGGCUGGGGGAACGUCAAAUGUCGCUAAUCAGAAUUUCUUG